rnacentral:rRNA from 1 species
GACGAACGCUGGCGGCGUGCUUAACACAUGCAAGUCGAACGGAAAGGCCCUGCUUUUGUGGGGUGCUCGAGUGGCGAACGGGUGAGUAACACGUGAGUAACCUGCCCUUGACUUUGGGAUAACUUCAGGAAACUGGGGCUAAUACCGGAUAGGAGCUCCUGCUGCAUGGUGGGGGUUGGAAAGUUUCGGCGGUUGGGGAUGGACUCGCGGCUUAUCAGCUUGUUGGUGGGGUAGUGGCUUACCAAGGCUUUGACGGGUAGCCGGCCUGAGAGGGUGACCGGCCACAUUGGGACUGAGAUACGGCCCAGACUCCUACGGGAGGAAGCAGUGGGGAAUAUUGCACAAUGGGCGGAAGCCUGAUGCAGCAACGCCGCGGGCGGGAUGACGGCCUUCGGGUUGUAAACCGCUUUCGCCGGUGACGAAGCGUGAGUGACGGUAAUGGGUAAAGAAGCACCGGCUAACUACGU